rnacentral:misc_RNA from 1 species
UUAACUAUUAGAUAGUACUCAGACGACACUAACAUUCAGAGUUUGGGGUCCUCUGGCACGCGCGAGCUGGCCGGAGCCAGCGCCCGGGGGCGGCGUGCCAAAGCAACAAGAUAUAAUACACAAGGGUGAGGUUUGCUACCCCGGGGGGCAGCGAACACUGUAAUGAUCCUUCCGCAGGUUCACCUACGGAAA